GUUUUGCAGAACUUCUUUGAUCUAGAGCAUUAUCCUCUGAUUUCAGAACUCACUCACCGUUUCUAGGGUUUCAGGGAAAGAUUGGUUGCAUAUCCCUCAGAAAGACAUGGUUAUGGUGCACCACGCGCGCCUUGUCGUGAUGGGGGUCGGAAUCUGGACUGGGUUGCUGCCGGUGGCGAUUUGGGUGGCUUCAUGGCGGCGCGGUUGAUGGUGAAAGGUUGGUCUGGUGGUGGCUCGCGGCUCUUUCCGACAGCGAGGAUGGGGAUAUCGAUUUAGGUCACGCACCCGUCGAGAAGAUGGUAGCGGCACCAGGAGGGUGAUGGAGCUGCGAUGGCGCGAUGAAGGAGAAGAUGGUGUCGCGAUUUGGGCGAAGGUGGUUUUGGCGGUUAGAGACGGUACGUGAUUGGGACGUGGUCGAAAGGGGAUGGACAUGAGGAUAGGUAUGGGUUUACAGGUUGAGCCAUUGGAAAAUGUUUUGAUAUGACGCUCAAUGUGAUGAAUUGAAACUUUUGUAUGAAAUGAAUUUUUGACUUGAUUAUCUUGUGGUUGGAAUUAUGUUUGGUUUGAUGAUGAAUGAAAUGGAAUUGUAGAAUGAAUGAUGGAAUAACAGGGCAUGAGGACGGGAAAAACAGGGUGACACUAAUGGAGGGGCUGU
rnacentral:sRNA from 1 species